UACAGAGGUCCCGAGCGUUGUUCGGAUUUAUUGGGCGUAAAGGGUGCGUAGGCGGCGGAGUAAGUUGGGUGUGAAAUCCCGGGGCUUAACCUCGGAAUUGCAUUCAAUACUGCUUCGCUCGAGUACUGGAGAGGAGGCUGGAAUUUACGGUGUAGCAGUGAAAUGCGUAGAGAUCGUAAGGAAGACCAGUGGCGAAGGCGGGCCUCUGGACAGUUCCUGACACUGAGGCACGAAGGCCAGGGGAGCAAACGGG
rnacentral:rRNA from 1 species